rnacentral:rRNA from 1 species
GUCGAACGGGUGUACGGGAAGGAAGGCUUCGGCCGGAAAACCUGUGCAUGAGUGGCGGACGGGUGAGUAACGCGUGGGCAACCUGGCCUGUACAGGGGGAUAACACUUAGAAAUAGGUGCUAAUACCGCAUAACGGGGGAAGCCGCAUGGCUUUUCCCUGAAAACUCCGGUGGUACGGGAUGGACCCGCGUCUGAUUAGCUGGUUGGCGGGGUAACGGCCCACCAAGGCGACGAUCAGUAGCCGGCCUGAGAGGGCGGACGGCCACAUUGGGACUGAGACACGGCCCAAACUCCUACGGGAGGCAGCAGUGGGGAAUAUUGCACAAUGGGGGAAACCCUGAUGCAGCGACGCCGCGUGAGUGAAGAAGCGUUUCGGCGCGUAAAGCUCUGUCAGCGGGGAAGAAACACGGUUCGCGAGAGCCGCGGACGGUACCCGACCAAGAAGCCCCGGCUAACUACGUGCCAGCAGCCGCGGUAAUACGUAGGGGGCAAGCGUUAUCCGGAUUCACUGGGUGUAAAGGGAGCGUAGACGGCGAGACAAGUCUGGAGUGAAAGGCCGGGGCCCAACCCCGGGACUGCUCUGGAAACUGCCUGGCUGGAGUACAGGAGAGGUAAGUGGAAUUCCUAGUGUAGCGGUGAAAUGCGUAGAUAUUAGGAGGAACACCAGUGGCGAAGGCGGCUUACUGGACUGUAACUGACGUUGAGGCUCGAAAGCGUGGGGAGCAAACAGGA